GACGAACGCUGGCGGCGUGCUUAACACAUGCAAGUCGAACGGAAAGGCCCUGCUUUUGUGGGGUGCUCGAGUGGCGAACGGGUGAGUAACACGUGAGUAACCUGCCCUUGACUUUGGGAUAACUUCAGGAAACUGGGGCUAAUACCGGAUAGGAGCUCCUGCUGCAUGGUGGGGGUUGGAAAGUUUCGGCGGUUGGGGAUGGAAUCGCGGCUUAUCAGCUUGUUGGUGGGGUAGUGGCUUACCAAGGCUUUGACGGGUAGCCGGCCUGAGAGGGUGACCGGCCACAUUGGGACUGAGAUACGGCCCAGACUCCUACGGGAGGCAGCAGUGGGGAAUAGUGCACAAUGGGCGGAAGCCUGAUGCAGCAACGCCGCGUGCGGGAUGACGGCCUUCGGGUUGUAAACCGCUUUCGCCUGUGACGAAGCGUGAGUGACGGUAAUGGGUAAAGAAGCACCGGCUAACUACGUG
rnacentral:rRNA from 1 species